UGCUGUCCAAUGUAAUUUAUCUGAGACCAGGCAAUGAGCCUGAAUGAUAAAAUAAAAUUUAUAUAAGUAAGACAAUGCCAGCAAUAUACAUCUGCUUCAAGUUUGAGCAAUAUAAAUCCUCCUAUUAUUGUAUUUUUAGGGAGAAACUAAAGCCACAAAUUAAAUCCUUUAAUCAUUUAUAGUCAAAAUUUCAGAAAUUAAAGGUCAUGGUUACUUUUUGCUCUGUCUCAGCCAGAGAAGUCUCAGUCAGAUGCACGUGUAUGUUUGGAGUUCCUUCUGCAGCUGAAGCAUCCUUCACUAGUUUGCAACUCUUGCUCAAAACCAAUUCUAAACCAUCAACCUAUUGGUCUAAAUGCAGAAGUAUUCUACAACAGGGUAAAAGAACUAUCCUGAGACUUCUGUCAACAUUUACCAGAUUGAAAACUCCUAAACAAUUUGGAUUUAUGCUUGUGGCUGACAUGGGAAACUUGAUGAGAAAACGUG
rnacentral:lncRNA from 1 species